UGAAGUUUUAGUACACACUUAUCAAAAUUGGAAACGAGACUGCUUUUCGCUAUUGCUAGUAUUAAAUGUUCUUGUAAAGUAUUAAAGGUAUUGCCAAACUCAUAUACAGUUGCAAAGGGCACCCUUUCAGUAUAGUUAACAGUACUCUGUGGGCCAGGCCCCUUUCCAACUAAUCUUGUAUAAUAUAAAUUACUGAUAGAUUUCCUGGUUGGUAAAGGAAUUGAAUUGUGAAAUUGUGAAAACUACUUAUGUGAUGCUUAUGUCCAUCCCAAUUUCCAAGACACAAUUUAUAGAAAAUUUAGUAUGAUAUUUUUUAGCUUUCAUCUGUACUUUAUCUUCUUCAUCAUCAACUUGUCUUCUCCCAGAUAAAAUUUUAU
rnacentral:misc_RNA from 1 species